GUAACUUUCUAAGAUAUAUUUAAAACCAAAAACAUUUUUUAUUGGAAAUGAGUUCUUGUAACUGAUAUUUCUAUCUCACUAUUAACAUCCAACAUCCUUUAUCUUACCUUCAUGAAUAUCUUUGUGCUGAUCUUGUCAUUUUUCCAUAUCUAGCGAAAGAAAGACUUGCUGUGCUGGAUAUGUAUGGAAUAUUACCAGAGAACGCUGUGUAGGAGGAAUGCUACACCAAACAAAUUGGAUAGACAAGAAGAAGAGAAGAGAAGAAGAGACAUUAUUUGUCGAAAUGCGCAUCUGGUGCAUCAAAAUUGGAUGUAGGACGGGUUAUGGUGGCUUGAAUUGUUGAUUCCAGUGCCUGUAUCAACUGUACGGUUCGGGGUGUCAAAGGAUAUGUCAGUGUGAUAGAGCAACCUGUGACCGAACUUAUGGAUGUCUUGGAACGGCGAAAUAUAAUCAGCAUUUACCUUGAUUGGUGCAAAUUUGUAUUGGCUGGGUUUGAUAUUUUGUGCCCUCUAUUGAAGACAGUCAGGUGAGGGUGAAAAUUUCUUUGGAUCUAAGGGCGAGAGGAAAUCAUGAGGCACUUUAAAUAGGCCUAGCUUAGUAGAAAUAAAGCAAUAGAUGAGAUGAGUAGUACAACGAAGCCCAUUGUUAAGAAUGAAACGAUAUCAAACAUCGAUACAACAAGUAAGGGUUCCUUUGGAAGUAGAUAUACAAGGAACAUUCUGGAGGCGUGUAUCAUCGCUCUGGGUGUUGUUGCAGUGCUUCUGUCUACUGUUAUCAUUGGAUCAUAUGUCAAACAACGUCAAACCGUCACAGCACCGCUUGGUUCAGUUGACUGACGAACAUUUCAUAAUUCUUAUAUUAAUAUAAAAACAAGGAUAAAUGAAUACUUACUUUUGUUAUCAUGGUACUGAAUGCUAACAAUUAUACUAUUGAUUAGAUGGUUAGUGAUUUGAUCUCACCUUGUAUACUGAUACGGAAACGUGAUGACACCUACCGGUUGUGUUCUGACUGUGUACUGACUUCAGAAAAGGGAAUUAUUUCACACAACAGAUUUAUAUCCGAUCUUCAUAAUCGAUGACUGUAUUGAAAAAAAAACAUAAUCAGAAAUGUA